rnacentral:rRNA from 1 species
UACGUAGGGUGCAAGCGUUGUCCGGAAUUAUUGGGCGUAAAGAGCUCGUAGGCGGUCUGUUGCGUCGGCUGUGAAAACCCGGGGCUCAACCCCGGGCCUGCAGCCGAUACGGGCAGACUAGAGUUCGGCGGGGGAGACUGGAAUUCCUGGUGUAGCGGUGAAAUGCGCAGAUAUCAGGAGGAACACCGGUGGCGAAGGCGACAUCCUGGACCGGUAUUGACGCUGAGGCGCGAAAGCCAGGGGAGCAAACGGG